GAUGAAGAACGUAGCGAAAUGCGAUAACUAAUGUGAAUUGCAGAAUUCAGUGAAUCAUCGAGUCUUUGAACGCACAUUGCGCCCCCUGGUAUUCCGGGGGGCAUGCCUGUCCGAGCGUCAUUGCUGCCCUCAAGCACGGCUUGUGUGUUGGGCUCCGUCCCCCCGGGGACGGGUCCGAAAGGCAGCGGCGGCACCGAGUCCGGUCCUCGAGCGUAUGGGGCUUUGUCACCCGCUCUGUAGGCCCGGCCGGCGCCAGCAGACAACCAAUCAUCCUUUUUUCAGGUUGACCUCGGAUCAGGUAGGGAUACCCGCUGAACUUAAGCAUAUCAAUAAGCGGAGGA
rnacentral:misc_RNA from 1 species